rnacentral:lncRNA from 1 species
AAAUUCUGGGAAGAGGAAGUCAGAGAAGCAGUUGCCAACCAAACAGAAAAGGAAGGAAUAGGAGAAUACUUUACUCAGAAAAGAAUCCACAAUUCAGUUCAUCCAGAGGAUUCCUAAACCUGCCUCUAAACACUUGUAUGAAGACACUGACUCUUCCUAAAGUUUGAGGAUUUAUUUACACAUUAGCCACACCUAAACUGGAGAGUGGUGACAUACCUUUGUAAUUCUAGCACUCAGGAGGGUCAAACAGGAUAAAAACAAUUACUGUAAAUGUAAGACCAGUCUAAGGGACACAGAUACUGAGUUCAAGGAUGUCCUAGACUACUUCACUCACAGUCUGGAAGACUUUGUUCACAGCCCUGCACUGUUCAAAAUCUGCACACUUGGAGAAGACAGUGCAGUGGAAGUUCUAGGGUAAUAUUAUGGUAGACUAAUAAACUUUACUGGAGAUGACUUUCAGUUUUACUCUUCUUUAGAAAAUUGUAUAAAGAGUUUUAAACUAUUCAUUCCGCAAACAUUAGAGCCUUCAUCCAGUGACUGAUGGAAGCAGAGGCAGACACCCACAGCUAAACACUGAACUGAACUCCUGGAACCCAGUUGCAAAAAGGGAGGAGUGAUAAGCAAAGGGGUCAAGACUGGAGUGGAGUGGUGAAACUCACAGAAACAGCUGACUUGAACAAGGGGGAGCUCAUGGACUCCAGACUGAUAGCUGAGAGACCAGCAUGGAACUGAUCCAGAUCCUCUGAAUGUGGGUGUCAGUGAGGAGGCCUCAGAAAUCUAAGGGUCCUCAGGUAGUAGAUAGGUAUUUAUCCCUGGCACAUGAAUGGACUUUGGGAACCCAUUCCACAUAGAUGGAUGCUCUCAGUCUGGACACAUGGGGAGGGCCUAGGCCCUGCCUGGGAUGAUAUGACAGACUUUGGAGAUCCCCCAGAGAAGGUGAGGCAGA